UACUUUAGCACUCAUUGACGGCAAAUCCCACCUGGCUAUGACCAGGGUCGUACAAAACCCUAAUCCUUGGUCCCAAACACAGGCAUCACGCAUAGCCUCGUAGCUCUUGCUUUGGAGCCUCUGCCGGAAUCCACAAUAAUACCGCCGUUGCCAGAACCGUCUGUGGCAUUGAGAGAAUGUUCCCACCAACGCUGAUGCCAGAAAGCUAAACCUAGUAGAAAGUGUCCAUACGGCUGUUUUUCAGCAACGAUGCGAAAACCGCUCCCCGCAGAACAGCUUCUCCGCCAUUGUGAGAAAGAAAUUGAAUUCUCAAUGUCAAGGCCACUGGAGUAGAGAAACAUAUUAGAAGGAUAUACCUGAGGCGGGUUGUAUGAAGAGGCUCUAGAACUCUUUGGGUACAUGAAAAAAGAAGACUUGGAUUGAGACUAUACCACCAUGGCCACAGUUGUAGAGUAUGUGCAAACCUUUGAACAGGAUUGCAGGUUGUGGAGCAUAUGGGUUGAGGAAGUCGGUUUGCAGGGAGGCAGUCAUGUUUAAAAAUUAUCACAAAUCGGCAUGAAAAUUCUGCAAGAAAUAAAUCCGACGUGAUAGUUCCGGCGUGAGGAUACUGAAUUCAGGUGGACUAUGUCCACCAUAUAUAGCCUACUAUUAGGCAAAUUCAAAAACCCAAUUGUAAGUUUCGACAAAUUUGUACA